rnacentral:rRNA from 1 species
UACAGAGGGGGGCAAGCGUUGUUCGGAAUUACUGGGCGUAAAGAGCUCGUAGGCGGUCUGUCGCGUCGGCUGUGAAAUCCCGAGGCUCAACCUCGGGUCUGCAGUCGAUACGGGCAAACUAGAGUAUUGCAGGGGAGACUGGAAUUCCUGGUGUAGCGGUGAAAUGCGCAGAUAUCAGGAGGAACACCGGUGGCGAAGGCGGGUCUCUGGGCAAUAACUGACGCUGAGGAGCGAAAGCGUGGGGAGCGAACAGG